CAGCAUAGAAGUUGUUCGUUAGCUCGAACCAAAGUUGCCUAAUCAGCACCUGCUGUCCAAAAUGUCCGAGGCAAUGAAGGAAAGUGAUGGUCAGGGUUUACAAGCAAACCAAGAGGGUGUACGAGGAGCAGAGGCACACUCACUACAGCAACAAAACCCAAAUAUAAUUGGC